GAAGGGGGGGUUCGGGGGGGGGGGGUGGGCGGAGCGCGCAACCCGGGCGCGGCGUCGCGGCGUCGCGGCGGCAGGUGGACGCGAGGGGCCCGGGCAGGUACGGCGUGGCGGGCCCCGGGCCCCAGGCGCCGGGGCGAGGGGUGGCGGGCCCGCGGCGUUGGGAGGCGGCUGCGCAAGCCGCACCCCCGUUUCCACUCCGGGGUGGCGGGGCGCGCGCGCGGUCACCCCCGGGGCAGUCGCUUGCUCGCGCUGGCUGCGUCUGCGGAAGUUGCGGUGGGGCGUCUGCACGCCCGGGGGCACUUCACCUGACUGGGGGCCCCGCGAGCCCCCUCCCGUUGAGAAGCGAUUCAGAAAACUUCCAGCCUGAAAGUAAACUUGCUGCCGAGGGCGACGCCCUACGUCCUGAGUGCUGGCGGAGGGGCCACGGGGCUCUGUGCGAUGGGUGACAAAAACAUGCCUGCCGACACCAGCCGUUCUUGGAAAUGUGUCGUGGCUGUUUACAAAAUAGCUUUAUUGAGACAUAAUUUACGCACCGUAAAAUUCACCCAUUUUACGUGUACACUAAACAGGUAUUUAUUGUAUUUUCGGUGCAGGCAUCACAAUCUAAUUUUGGAGCAUUUCCACCGUUCCGAAAGGAAACCUCGUGCCCAGUAGCGAUCCCUGCCCGCAGCCACUGAUUUACUUUCUGUCUCUACAAGUUUGUUCUGGACGCUUCCUGGAAAUGGAACAAUGCAGUACUCCGCCUUUUGCCUCCGGCUUUUUCCCCUCCUACCAUCAUGUUUUUGAUAUUCGUCCAGGUAGUAGCAUUUAUCAAUGCUUCUGUCCUUUUAUGUUGCCAGAUAAUAUUCCAUUGUGUGCGUAUACAGUGGAUUGACUUAACCAGUCCAUCCAUUCAUCGUUGUUUGCAGUUUGGGGUUUGGUGAACAGGACUGCCACGUACAAGUCUUUGUGCGCAGCCCUUGGUCUCCCCUGGUCCUGCGGCACCUGGCUGGAGCUCUGGAGCUCGGAAUCACCCCAGCGUCUCCCUCAUGUGCUGUAACCAUUAGCGGCUGAGUGGAGGGCUUGGGACCCGAGUCUGGCAGGAGGAAGCGGGCAUCGCGGCUUAUGCAGGGUUCUGCUACUUCUGUUGGAGUCUGGGCUUGGGGAGUGGGACGCUGAGACCCGUGUGUGGCAGGUCCUGGAGCGGCGGCGACUUCGCGGCCUCCGCGGAAGCGUGCCGAGAACGGAGCCUUGGAGGGGCAGGGAUCCCUUGGAUGUCGGAGAGGAGAGACGGAGGUGUGCGUCGGCAACCUUCCCCUGAAACCUUGAGGUGUUCUUCUGUCCACCGCUGCUCGUCCUUGGCCCCCCCUUAUGACUUAGCAGCCUGCGGUCACCUGAUGUCACCAGGGCCGAAAGACACUUUAGAAACGCGGACGUGCCGGUGAGGAGGCUCAUCGGCUCCCCCCGUCUGCCUUGGACGUGGCCAAUUUGGGCCCAGAAAGUUCUUGCCUUGCACGCUUCCCCUUCCCGCCCCACGUGACCCUGGGUGGGGCUCACCCUGCCUGCUGCUCUGGAUGGAGGGGGCUCGCCAGGGUGUAAGUGCCUGCCCCCCCCGUCCCAGGAAGGGGUGGGUUUCAGCCAAAAAGCUGCACCGUACGAUUUUGAAACGAAUCGGUUCGGUCAGUUGGCUGUGCACUUGGAGACUAGAACACGAACAGCGGUGCCUGACCCCAGGAAUCGUACUGUCUGGGGAGGCGGGCGACAGCCUGAAAAUCUCGGAGCGCCAUCCCUGCCUGAAAUGGUGCAUCGGAAGGACAGACGGUGGAAAACGAAGCGUAAUUUACUGACUUAAGCUGCCCCUGGCCUUUUGUGGGGUGUUUGUAUUUUGUACAUUCUGCAGAAUAACGAGCCUGAGACGCAGCACGCUUAGAGAUGGUGACCUAGCUCUCGCACUGCAGCUUAGUCCGGGACGACAGAGGAGAGCAGCUAACCUCUGGGGGCCCGCCGCAGGCCACGCAUCUCUCAGGGAUUUGCUGGCCUGCGCGCCUCCUUGCCAAGCAGUGAAAGUCGCGCUGCCUGCCCGGUUGUACUUGACUCCUUCUACGCCACCUGCUCUGUUUUAAUUAUCGGGAAUGCUCCAGGAAGUAGGCUGAGUUUUGCAACAGCAUGGUUCUGUCACGUUCUUAGAACAACCCUGGGCGGCGGGUGGUGACUCCCUCUUGGGGACGAAGAAGCUGGAGGUUGGAUCCCUCAGCCAACAAUUGAAUGCACGUCCCCCGUUGCCGCCAGGCACCAAACCACGUGACCAAUGAGCUGUAGUUCGGCAUCCGCAGAAUCCGAACACUGUCAUGCCCCCCGCUGCCUCACGCUGUCCCACGUCACCAUCAUCCCACCUGGGUCGCCACAGCCUCCUCGUGUUUCUCUUCUGCUCUGAUCCCCACAGCCGCGGCGACCCCGUGUCGGGAGGUGGGUCCUAGGUCUUUACUCCGCUGCCUCCCUCUUGUUAGGAAGAGCCGAGCCCCCUGGGCCCCCGCCUGAGCCGUCCCCUGCAGCCCUGAGCCUCCUUCCCAUCCCUUGCUCCGUGUCAGCCUCCCUGGCCUCCUUGCCCCAGGGCCUUUGCACUUGCUGCCCCCCCUUCCCCACUUGACCAUGCUCUUUACGCUCUUUGUUCAGUUGUCAGUCUCUCAAAGGGCCUGCCUGGCCACGCUGCCGAGCCCUCCGUCCCUUCCCUCCUGUCCCCUCUCUGACUUUGUGUGUUUCACUUACAGACUCACCAGGCGCGCUACUCACUCGUCCUGUUGAUUGUCUUCCCCAGAGAAGAGAAGCCCCAGGAGAGAGGGGUUUGUGCGCUCUGUUCAUGGCACCUGAAGUGUUGGGCGAGGCGGAGGGCGUUAGGUAUCAGUGUGGGGACAGCAGGCACCAGUGUGCCUCCGCCUGCUGUCCAGGGAGCAGGUGAAUUGAGGCAGGCGAGAGGAGUGAUGUGUCCAAGGCCUUGAGAAGCUGGGAGAGGCGGCGUCCAGAGCAAGGACAGGUCUUCCCAGUGGGGGUGCAUGCCGGGGUGCAGGGAGGUGACCGAUGUGGGGCUGGCCGCGUGCAGAGUUCCCUUCUGAUUCAUCUCUGUUUCCAGUGAAAUCGGAACCCGGGUGGCCAGCUGGGCGGGAGCAGCAGAGCCCGGGAGGGUCCCGGCGGUGCAGGGCGCGGGCUGGGAAGGCAUUUGGGGGCGGCGUGGCCACUGGCGAGGCGGGACAAGGCCGUGGGGACGCUGGCAGUCCCUCGUCUGUGUGUGUCUGUGGCUUUUAUCCCCUGAUACACUCAUAACCACACGUCUGUGCGCGCACACACACACACACCUAGGUUGUACGGGACACAAUUGCUGGUGUUACCAAACACGUCUGUUCAGUUUUGCAUGGUUCAAACUAGUAUUUUCCCAGUUUUUUCUGCUGUCACCAGAGCUUCAGGGAACUGGCUUGAAUGUGUCCACGUGCACACAUGUGAGUGUCUCCAGGACGCGUGCCGGGUGUGGGAUCAGGGCCACUUGGUCCACACGCCCCCAGCGGCCUCAGCAGCUCCUCCGUUGUCUGGCUGCGUUCUGAUGGCGUGGACGGACUUCCCGUGAAGGUCACGGCAUAACCUUCCACCUGUUUGGUGUGAAGUCGGUGGUCCGUAAAUGCUGGGGCCAGACUUAGUAGCAGACUGGAGAUCCCUUCAGUGGUAUUUUUGGUAGUGAUUGAUUGAAAGGACUAUAUCGUUAAGUGAAAUAGGUUACAAGUGGAAAGUACGUAUAGUUUAAACUACAUUUUGUAUUUUCUGUAUUUCUGUAAUAAACAUUCAGUGCUUUUAUGACAAAAAAAUCUUAUUUUUAAAUAACUUUUUAUGUUUACUUAUUUAUUUUGAGAGAGAGAGUGCAUGAGAGCCUGAGCACAGGGCGGGGCAGGGCGGGGGGGCAGAGAUGGGGGGUGGAGAGAGAAUCCCAAGCAGGUUCCGCACGGUCAGCACAGAGCCUGACUCGGGGCUCGAACUCCUGAACCGUGAGACCGUGACCUGAGAUCAAGAGUCGGAUGCUUAACCGACUGAGCCACCCUGGCGCCCCGUAACUAAAAAAUUCUAAUAAGUUAUUUUCAUUAUUUAAAACGAGGUGCAAAAGAUUGCGUAGGAGACAGGAGGCAAUUUUAGCUCCAGUGUACCGAGCCUCCUGUCAAGUCUAUACUAGAAAUUUUUUUUAAAUAAAGUACGGGACCGAAAAAAUAUCUUACCAUUGGGGCCUGCCUUCAGAUUCUAGGAGUUCUAAUGACCAAGAGUUGCCAUCCGCAGCACCUACCGAUGGGCGACCUUGGUGAUGACACUGGCCGAAGUUCGCAGGUGGAAAGACGGUGGGGUCAGAGGGCGUGUGCAGUGGGGGUGGUUCCUCUCUCCUCCCACCCUCAAGCACACUUCCUGGAAACCGGUGUUUCUGAAUCUGCACGACCCUGUGGAACAGUAGUGUUUGACCUCGGCUAGUGUUAAAAUCCCCUGGGAGCUCUUAAAAAACACUGAUGCUGUAAGACCAGCCCCAGAGAUUCUCGCUCUGUCCCUCUGGGACGGGCCAGGCAUUGCAUCGGUGGUUUAAAAAGGAAAGGAAAAGCGACUCUCGGCUGAACGCACGAUCAGAGUGAGAGCCAAGGCUUCACGACGCGGGCUGCCCGGCUCUUUCCGUAAGGGGUCAGAGGUCAGAUGGUGGCCGCUCUGUGCCCUGCCGGCACAUCCUCUCCUCUGCCGCGUGGAAGCGGCUGUAAGUGCGGGAACGCGUGCGGCUCUGUUCCAAUAAGACUUCAGUUACAGAAAGCUGGUGGGUCGGAUUUGGCUCAAGGCUAUGGUUUCCUGACAUUGCUGUAGAACAUGUAAAAAUGUUAGUUUCCUAUUUCACUUACUAAUGGUAAAAUCUGAAGAAAAGAACGCUGUGGUUUUGUAUGAUACAAUGAAAAGAGCGUAGGAUUUGGAGUUAGAAGCCCUGGGUUCAAAUUCUGCUCUAAAUUUGCUGUGUGGCCUCAGGGAAGUCACUUAUCCUCUCCAGUCCUUGUGCUUCAGAGAAAGGACAGUAAUAACAUACCGUGCAGCAGGAUUGUAAAGUCGAGUGCGAUAAGGUAUGUGAACACGUUUCACACGUUGUAAAUGCUGGGCACACGUGCUUGGUGCUCCUCAUCUUAUAAAUUCAUGUGUAAUAAACGUUAAAUAUUUAAAACUGAAGCAAAUAAGAAACGUUGAAUUUAAAUGUAAUAUAAGCAUGCAGACUGAGAAAAAUUAGUUUUAGAUUAUGCGUUUCUCUUUCUUAAGCCAGCAGAGUGAUUUUAGGUGGGUAAGAGCUGCUUUUAAAAGAAGGUGGUUGAUGGGGCGUCUGGGUGGCUCAGUCGGUGAAGCAUACGACUUGGGCUCAGGUCAUGAUCUCGCGGUUUGUGAGUUCCAGCCCUGCAUCGGGCUCUGUGCUGACAGCUCGGAGCCUGGAGCCUGCUUCAAAUUCUGUGUCUCCCUCUCUCUCUGCCCCUCCUCUGCUCGUGCUCUGUCUCCCUCUGUCUGUCAAGAAUAAAUAAAUAGGGGCGCCUGGGCGGCUCAGUCAGUUGAGCCUCUGACUUCAGCUCAGGCCAUGAUCUUGCACUCUGUGAGUUCAAGCCCCAUGUCGGGCUCUGUGCUGACAGCUCAGAGCCUGGAGCCUGCUUCAGAUUCUGUGUCUCUCUGCCUCUCGUUCUCUCUCUCUCUCUAUCAAAAAUAAAUAAACCUUAAAUUAAAGAAAAAAAAGAAUAAACGUAAAAAAAAAUUUAAAGAAAAACACUAAAAAUAGAAAUACCAUGGGAUGCCUGGGUGGCUCAGUCAGUUAAGUGUCCGACUUCGGCUCAGGUCAUGACCUCACGGUUCAUGGGUUCAAGCCCCCGCGUUGAGCUCUGUGCUGACAGCUCGGAGUCUGGAUCCUGCUUCGGAUUCUGUGUCUCCCCUCUCUCUGCCCUUCCCCCACUCAUGCUCUCUCUCUCAAAAAUAAAUAAA